rnacentral:rRNA from 1 species
GCCCUUAGAGUUUGAUCCUGGCUCAGGACGAACGCUGGCGGCGUGGAUUAGGCAUGCAAGUCGAGCGACGGAUAGCCUUCGGGCUAUUACGGAGCGGCGAACGGGUGAGUAACACGUGAACAAUUUGUCCUCACGUUCCGGAUAAUUGGGAGAAAUCCCUUGUAAUACGGGCGAGGGUCUUGAUGGGGCAUCCCGUUGAGAAGGAACGCGCAAGCGGCGCGAGGAGAUGUUCGCGGCCUAUCAGGUAGUUGGUGGGGUAAUGGCCUACCAAGCCGACGACGGGUAGCUGGUCUGAGAGGAUGGUCAGCCACAUUGGGACUGAGACACUGCCCAGACUCCUACGGGAGGCUGCAGUCGAGAAUCUUGGGCAAUGCACGAAAGUGUGACCCAGCGACGCCGCGUGAAGGAUGAAGGCCCUCUGGGUUGUAAACUUCUUUUAGGGGGAAGAAUCAAUG